rnacentral:rRNA from 1 species
GUGUCAGCCGCCGCGGUAAGACAGAGGUGCCGAGCGUUAGGCGGAAUCACUGGGCUUAAAGCGUGUGUAGGCGGAAGCGUAAGUGCCUUGUGAAAUCCCACGGCUCAACCGUGGAACUGCUGGGCAUACUGCGUUUCUUGAGCCAAUCAGGGGUCGUCGGAACAAACGGUGGAGCGGUGAAAUGCGUAGAUAUCGUUUGGAACGCCAAAGGCGAAAGCAGACGACUGGGAUUGCGCUGACGCUGAGACACGAAAGCCAGGGGAGCAAACGGGAUUAGAAACCCUAGUAGUCC